AUUACGCGAAGAACCUUACCAACACUUGACAUGAACGUCGCGACAUUGAUAUUAAAGUUUUCGGUUCGGCCGGACGAAACACAGGUGCUGCAUGGCUGUCGUCAGCUCGUGUCGUGAGAUGUUGGGUUAAGUCCCGCAACGAGCGCAACCCUCACUUUUAGUUGCCAUCGUUUAGUUGGGCACUCUGAAAGAACUGCCAGUGAUAAGCUGGAGGAAGGUGGGGAUGACGUCAAGUCCUCAUGGCUUACGUGUCCGCUACACACGUGCUACAAUGGCAUUUACAACAGGAAGCAAAACGGCGACGUUAAGCAAAUCCUAAAAAAAUGCCUCAGUUCGGAUUGUACUCUGCA
rnacentral:rRNA from 1 species